CUCUGGGGUCUGAAGAGAGGCCAGCGUGUCCCAAAGGCAAGCCCACGGGGGAAUUUCCAGGAGAGAGGAAGGAGACAGGGGAGCAGCAGAUUUAAGACUAAGUGGAUUAUGACACCAUGUGAUGACAUGGUAACUGGAUCACACCAUUCCUCUCCACUGCCCUUGUCUGGGGGAUGGUGGGCGGGCCACUGUUCCCAUGUGAGGGACGGUGAAUGGAUAACUCUAAACGUAGUGACUCAGGCUCACAGCAGUGUAUACAUCGACAUACACAGAAAAUCAGGGACGGCGGUGGUGGUGAGAGUUGGUGUAUCCUGGAGUUACGACUUGAGCAUAAUUUCUUCAGUGCUUGGUGGGAUUUCGGAUUUCUUUGGCUCUCCUAAAUCAUCUUAAUGUCUUCCCUUCUGACUCUGUGGUCAUUUUGAAACAUGGCUGCAUGUUCUUUGACACAUCGUCCAUCAACAGUCAAGAUCUACGUACCCUCCGCUUGGAUCUGAGCAGGC
rnacentral:lncRNA from 1 species